rnacentral:rRNA from 1 species
GAAGGCCUUCGGGUCGUAAAGCUCUGUUGUUAGGGAAGAACAAGUAUCGGAGUAACUGCCGGUACCUUGACGGUACCUAACCAGAAAGCCACGGCUAACUACGUGCCAGCAGCCGCGGUAAUACGUAGGUGGCAAGCGUUGUCCGGAAUUAUUGGGCGUAAAGCGCGCGCAGGCGGUUCCUUAAGUCUGAUGUGAAAGCCCACGGCUCAACCGUGGAGGGUCAUUGGAAACUGGGGAACUUGAGUGCAGAAGAGAAGAGCGGAAUUCCACGUGUAGCGGUGAAAUGCGUAGAGAUGUGGAGGAACACCAGUGGCGAAGGCGGCUCUUUGGUCUGUAACUGACGCUGAGGCGCGAAAGCGUGGGGAGCGAACAGGAUUAGAUACCCUGGUAGUCCACGCCGUAAACGAUGAGUGCUAAGUGUUAGAGGGUUUCCGCCCUUUAGUGCUGCAGCAAACGCAUUAAGCACUCCGCCUGGGGAGUACGGCCGCAAGGCUGAAACUCAAAGGAAUUGACGGGGGCCCGCACAAGCGGUGGAGCAUGUGGUUUAAUUCGAAGCAACGCGAAGAACCUUACCAGGUCUUGACAUCCUCUGACACUCCUAGAGAUAGGACGUUCCCCUUCGGGGGACAGAGUGACAGGUGGUGCAUGGUUGUCGUCAGCUCGUGUCGUGAGAUGUUGGGUUAAGUCCCGCAACGAGCGCAACCCUU